AUACGGAGGGUGCAAGCGUUAAUCGGAUUUACUGGGCGUAAAGCGCGCGUAGGCGGAUGAUUAAGUCAGUUGUGAAAGCCCUGGGCUCAACCUAGGAACUGCAUCUGAUACUGGUCGUCUAGAGUUUAAGAGAGGGAAGUGGAAUUCCAGGUGUAGCAGUGAAAUGCGUAGAUAUCUGGAGGAACAUCAGUGGCGAAGGCGACUUCCUGGCUUAAAACUGACGCUGAGGUGCGAAAGCGUGGGUAGCGAACGGGAUUAGAAACCCUAGUAGUCC
rnacentral:rRNA from 1 species